GGAGGAGCAUCAGCAGGUGUGAGUACGGCAGGGAGCAGCGCAACGACAAUGACAGGCACAGCAGCAGCGGGAGGUCGGAUGAGGGAUGGAGAAGCAGGUCGAGGAGUGUUACUUCUACGGGCUUGAGGCUGGACCAGCGCGGACAGGAGUCGGCAUCCAACGGAUACUCCAGAGCCUGGCAAGGUGGAUGGAAGGACAGCGCAGACAGGGG